GACGAACGCUGGCGGGGUGCUUAACACAUGCAAGUCGAGCGAAUGGAUUAAGAGCUUGCUCUUAUGAAGUUAGCGGCGGACGGGUGAGUAACACGUGGGUAACCUGCCCAUAAGACUGGGAUAACUCCGGGAAACCGGGGCUAAUACCGGAUAACAUUUUGAACCGCAUGGUUCGAAAUUGAAAGGCGGCUUCGGCUGUCACUUAUGGAUGGACCCGCGUCGCAUUAGCUAGUUGGUGAGGUAACGGCUCACCAAGGCAUCGAUGCGUAGCCGACCGGGGAGGGUGAUCGGCCACACUGGGACUGAGACACGGCCCAGACUCCUACGGGAGGCAGCAGUAGGGAAUCUUCCGCAAUGGACGAAAGUCUGACGGAGCAACGCCGCGUGAGUGAUGAAGGCUUUCGGGUCGUAAAACUCUGUUGUUAGGGAAGAACAAGUGCUAGUUGAAUAAGCUGACACCUUGACGGUACCUAACCAGAAAGCCACGGCUAACUACGUGCCAGCCGCCGCCGUAA
rnacentral:rRNA from 1 species